AUCUAGCUGACGAGUCCCGAACAGGACGAAUCGCGAGUCUUGAAU
rnacentral:hammerhead_ribozyme from 1 species